AUUGAACGCUGGCGGCAGGCCUAACACAUGCAAGUCGAGCGCGAAAACACUUCGGUGUGAGUAGAGCGGCGGACGGGUGAGUAAUGCUUGGGAAUCUGCCCAGUAGUGGGGGAUAACGUGUGGAAACGCACGCUAAUACCGCAUACGUCCUACGGGAGAAAGCAGGGGAUCUUCGGACCUUGCGCUAUUGGAUGAGCCCAAGUCAGAUUAGCUAGUUGGUGAGGUAAUGGCUCACCAAGGCGACGAUCUGUAGCUGGUCUGAGAGGAUGAUCAGCCACACUGGGACUGAGACACGGCCCAGACUCCUACGGGAGGCAGCAGUGGGGAAUAUUGCACAAUGGGCGAAAGCCUGAUGCAGCCAUGCCGCGUGUGUGAAGAAGGCUCUAGGGUUGUAAAGCACUUUCAGUGGGGAGGAAAAGUUUAAGAUUAAUACUCUUGAACCUUGACGUUACCUGCAGAAGAAGCACCGGCAAACUCCGUG
rnacentral:rRNA from 1 species